rnacentral:lncRNA from 1 species
UGGGUUAUAAAGUCAACAGUCACAGACUGGCCUUGCAUCACUGGACCCAAACCUUUGACCUAACUUUCCCGUCUAAGGUGAAGAGAAAAUGACAAAGCAGUUAGCUUUAACCCAGCUUAUCUGUUUGGCAUUGCUGCAAGAGAGCACUUGAGACUUGGUUACUUAACAUAAAGAGAACAGCACUUGGCUCAGAGCUCCAGGAGUCCGAGACAUACACGACUGAAGUGUCCCUUCAAGCUAGGUCCUUCUGCUUUUUAAAACAUUGCAGGAUACAAUACAUCAUGAGAGGACACACCUAAGAGAGGAGGAGAACUAAGCCUGGUUCGUAACAAACCCACUGUCAUGCUAACGAAUCCACUCCCAGGAUGGCGAGUCUACUUGUGAGCAAAGAAUCCUUAUGACCUGGCUAUCGGUUAGCCACUUGGUGAAGAUCCUGCCAACUAAAAUCUAACAGGGAAGCUUAAGAUUCCAGUAAAGAGCAGGGAGUAGAGUGUUUCUGAACAGCACAGAGCUAUGAGGCAGAGGGGACAGUGGGUCACCAAGUGCUGUAGACCCAGUGAGAAGAUCACUGUUGACUCCAUAGGAAUUCUCGACAUGGCUUCUACCUUUUGAGUGUGCAAUGCUUUUUGUGUUAAAUCAUCUUUUUUUCCUACUUUAGGAAAUAGAACCAGAUUAUAACUCACUCCACAGAAUUCAUAUUGCUUCUGCUUGCACCCCCCCCCCUUGCACUUUUAGCAUUAAAACUCCUAGGAAUUAGGACACAACUCUUCCUGACCCAAAUAUGAGUGGUUUGGUUUCUGACAGUGGACAGAAGUUUAACAGGAAGAGGACGAGCAAAAACAGAAGGCAGGGCCAGCCCCCCUCUGACAUCUAGCCCGGCAUUCCAUCCUCCAGCUGAACAUCUUGAGCUGGACUGUCUCCAUUUGGACAAGGAAAACUGCCUCUCUUCACUCGCACAUGGAAAGGAGGGCUCAGUCAGUGUUAGCUGAGGACCAGAGAAGCAUGUACUUCCAGCAUCAACACGGUGGUAACCGGUUUGCGAGAACUAUCGGUUCUGAUAGCUCAGGAGGCUUCUAGAUUGUCGCUUGGGGAUCCCCUGGGACCUCGAUAGAUGAACAUGUAGCCUGCUCCUCCCUUUCAAACAAGAUAGUUAGCAUCUGUUUUCUCUCAUUUGAUUCAAAGCCUGGGUAGUGGGUCACAACCUUUACUCUGGCAAAACAAACAAACAAAAAAGGAGUUAGUUGGAAACUACCUGAAAGGAAGAAAGAAAGAGAGAGAGAGAGAGAGAGAGAGAGAGAGAGAGAGAGAGAGAGAGAGAGAAAGAGAAAGGAAGAAAAAAAACCCUGGAAACCAUUAGAAAUUGCCCAUUUUCAUACAACCCAAAGCCAUUGAAUAGGACUGGCAAGAGAUCUUUGAGCAAGAAGCACAUCAACAGAUGGGAAAUGAUGCUCUUUGUAAAGAUGUCCCAAAAUGACCAGCUACAUGUUCGUCCUUACAAUUAAACAGGCGUUCCCAACCCUCCCAACCCAAGGAACAGGUCUGAGUGGCAGGCAGAGAUGCUUCUGUGUGUUUUGGUGUGGUCUAAAGCCUCUCUGCUUCCGAGGUAUGGAGCAGCACUGGUUCAGCGAGAUUCCCCAUGAUAAGAAUGCUCGAGUUCUUGUGGAUAGAGGUUAAGGGAUGCUUUAGCCUCUGCCAGAGGGUACAUCCUGGGGCCUGGUGAGUAUGAAGUCUUGGCACACAGUGAGUUUGUAAUGUGUGCAUGAGAAAGCAAAUACGCGCAGCAGGAGGAGGCACAGAGUAGAGAGAAUGGAAGGAAGGAACUAGAACAACUCAGACAACAACAAAGAUAAGGAAGGACGCUCGGAUUGGGGGGCUGUGAGGGCUUUAAUAUACAACUGCUUAGGUCCCAGUCAGUAAACACUCCCUCUCGCUUGGGGUUGGUUAUUAUAAACAUUCUUUCUCACGGUGUCAUUCCUUAUGGUACAAACCUUUAGAAACUCCUCCUUGGCCUCUCGACUGCAGUAAAAGAGCCUGUCUGUUGUCACCAGGCCCCAUUUACACAUAGACCCAGUUCUUCCUGGAUGUUUGCCAGAGUCUCUUCAAUGAGGACAGAGUAAACGUGAGAUCGAAGGUGGAAGCUGAAAAGGGAGCGCGCAGGAAGUCCUGCCCAUGUUUCUUAUGGGGUUCUCAUAAUUACAACUGCGGAGGGGAAAGAGUGAAGGGGCAAACAUCGGGAUGAUAAGAAGGAAAUAAAAAAACCCUGGAAUUAAAACAAAACGCUGCUGUUCAAGAGAAUCCGGCACUUUGAAAACCAGUUCUGCCUAGGCUGGGUCUGUUCACAAGCAUAGACCGGAGACACGGGGGAGGAACCGCAUGUAAGCCACAGGCCUGCUGAGCUCACUUGGAACAUGAUGAGGCCUUUUCUUACAGCCAAAUACAGGGUGUGUCAUCAAGAAGUGGAAUAUGUAUUUGUGAAUCUCAGAGAGAGCUCUGAAGUGGACCGUGAGAUCUGAGCAUCAUCAGCUUGUGAGCAGGAGGCAAGACCAUGAAUGCUGACAGAGUCAUUGAAGAAGAACAAGCAGCUGGGAGUCCUUGGAGGUUGAUUCAACAUGUGCGUAUCUCUAGAAUUUUACUUUGUAACCAAACAAUACGUUCCUCUGAAGAGAGCAUUGCUGCAUGCAGAGACAAGG